rnacentral:rRNA from 1 species
UACGAAGGGGGCUAGCGUUGCUCGGAAUCACUGGGCGUAAAGCGCACGUAGGCGGAUCUUUAAGUCAGGGGUGAAAUCCUGGAGCUCAACUCCAGAACUGCCUUUGAUACUGGGGAUCUCGAGUCCGGGAGAGGUGAGUGGAACUCCCAGUGUAGCGGUGAAAUGCGUAGAUAUUGGGAGGAACACCAGUGGCGAAGGCGGCUCACUGGACCGGAACUGACGCUGAGGCGCGAAAGCGUGGGGAGCAAACAGG